AAGCAGUGCAAGCAGAGAAUCUGCUCCCAUUUUCUGAGGCAUCAACAAACACAGUUCAGAACAGUAAGGAAAGCCCUCGUCUCUGGUUCUGUAUAUUUUUGUUUAAUACAAGUAUUAAGUACCUCUGAGUUUUGUAACAUGUUUUAUUAAAACAAUGCUAAAGAACAUAUUUCUUAAAAGCGAGUCUUAAUUUUAUAAGACAAUUUUCUCUUGCAUAUCAAAACUGCAGGGAAAACACAAACAGAAAGAAAAG